UACGGGGGGGGCAAGCGUUGUUCGGAAUUACUGGGCGUAAAGGGCUCGUAGGCGGCCAACUAAGUCGGAUGUGAAAUCCCCAAGCUUAACUUGGGAACUGCAUCCGAUACUGGAUGGCUUGAAUCCGGGAGAGGGAUGCAGAAUUCCAGGUGUAGCGGUGAAAUGCGUAGAUAUCUGGAGGAACACCGGUGGCGAAGGCGGGUCUCUGGGCCGUAACUGACGCUGAGGAGCGAAAGCGUGGGGAGCGAACAGG
rnacentral:rRNA from 1 species